rnacentral:misc_RNA from 1 species
AGCAGCCGCGGUAAUUCCAGCUCCAAUAGCGUAUAUUAAAGUUGUUGCAGUUAAAAGCUCGUAGUUGAAUUUCGGGAUUGGCGCAUCGGUCGUGCCUCACGGGGUAUGAACUGGUGCAGUCAAUUUCUCACCUUCUGGAGAACCGCGAUGUCCUUAAUUGGAUGCCGCGGGGAACCAGGACCUUUACUUUGAAAAAAUUAGAGUGUUUAAAGCAGGCAUUUUUGCUUGAAUACAUUAGCAUGGAAUAAUAAAAUAGGACGGCAUGGUUCUAUUUUGUUGGUUUCUAGGACCACCGUAAUGAUUAAUAGGGAUAGUUGGGGGCAUUAGUAUUCAAUUGUCAGAGGUGAAAUUCUUGGAUUUAUUGAAGACUAACUACUGCGAAAGCAUUUGCCAAGGAUGUUUUCAUUAAUCAAGAACGAAAGUUAGGGGAUCGAAGACGAUCAGAUACCGUCGUAGUCUUAACCAUAAACUAUGCCGACUAGGAAUCAGACGAUGUUAAUUUUUUAAUGUACUUCGUUUG